rnacentral:lncRNA from 1 species
UCCUGUAUGACAAGAUCUGCUCUAUUGUGUUGGUAUCCAGUUGGCACAAAGCUCCCACUUACACCUCCUUAUCCUCUUGAUUCCAGAACCUGCUUGAUUCAGGUGAAAGAGUCAUUUGAAAGAAGGAUUUUCAUCUCUCCAGAAGAUAUAUUGCAUGGUGAUUUGCUGGCCAAACAAGCUGUUCUUCUCAAAGUUAUAAACUAA